AUUGGGUUGAAGAUCAAUUCAUAUCGACAAGACUUUCCAUUCAUCUUUUUGUUGAUAUUUGGAUUCCAUUUUCAAGUAAAGUCAUCUUGUAGUUAGAAAUCACCUUUAGAAUCAUCAGCCUCUGUCCCUACACUGAAUCACUUAUCCGGGAUCGAUCCUCACUAUGGUCCUUUAUUUCGAAACGAGGAUAGGUCUCUCGCGGAACGAGGUGUCCUUUACCCCUCCCGAGUCUAUCGUAUCCAUAGUUUCAGUGGGUAUCGAACUACGAAGCGAGGAAGCUAUUUCAAUUGA
rnacentral:rRNA from 1 species